CACGUAGGGCGCAAGCGUUGUCCGGAAUUAUUGGGCGUAAAGAGCUCGUAGGCGGUCUGUUGCGUCCGCUGUGAAAACCCAGGGCUUAACCCUGGGCUGGCAGUGGAUACGGACAGACUAGAGGUAGGUAGGGGAGAAUGGAAUUCCCGGUGUAGUGGUGGAAUGCGUAGAUAUCGGGAGGAACACCAGUGGCGAAGGCGGUUACCUGGAGCUUUGCUGACGCUGAUGCGCGAAAGCGUGGGGAGCGAUCCGG
rnacentral:rRNA from 1 species